AACGGACGCUGGCGGCAUGCCUAACACAUGCAAGUCGAACGAGACCUUCGGGUCUAGUGGCGCACGGGUGCGUAACGCGUGGGAACCUGCCCUUAGGUUCGGAAUAACUCCCCGAAAGGGGUGCUAAUACCGGAUAAUGUCUUCGGACCAAAGAUUUAUCGCCUUUGGAUGGGCCCGCAUUGGAUUAGCUAGUUGGUAGGGUAAAAGCCUACCAAGGCGACGAUCCAUAGCUGGUCUGAGAGGAUGAUCAGCCACACUGGGACUGAGACACGGCCCAGACUCCUACGGGAGGCAGCAGUGGGGAAUAUUGGACAAUGGGCGAAAGCCUGAUCCAGCAAUGCCGCGUGAGUGAUGAAGGCCUUAGGGUUGUAAAGCUCUUUUACCCGGGAUGAUAAUGACAGUACCGGGAGAAUAAGCUCCGGCUAACUCCGUG
rnacentral:rRNA from 1 species